GACGAACGCUGGCGGCGUGCUUAACACAUGCAAGUCGAACGGAAAGGCCCUGCUUUUGUGGGGUGCUCGAGUGGCGAACGGGUGUGUAACACGUGAGUAUCCUGCCCUUUACUUUGGGAUAACUUCAGGAAACUGGGGCUACUAUCGGAUCGGUUCUCCUGCUGCAUUUUUGGGGUUGGAAAUUUUCGGCGGUUGGGGAUGGACUUGCGGCUUAUCUGCUUGUUGGUGGGGUAGUGGCUUACCAAGGCUUUGACGGGUAUCCGGCCUGAGAGGGGAGCAGGCGACAUUGGGACUGAGAUACGACCCAGACUAGAACGGGAGGCAGGAGUGGGGAGUAGUACACAAUGGGAGGGAGCCUGCUGCGGCAACGCCGCGUGGGGGAUGACGAGCUGCGGGUUGUAAACCGAUUUCGCCUGUGACGAAGCGAGAGUGACGGUAAUGGGAAAAGAAGCACCGGCUAACUACGUG
rnacentral:rRNA from 1 species